GGAUGGAUAAGCUAAUUGAUCAAGCUAGUGGGCCCAUACCCCAAAAAUGAGAUUAUUCUCUCCCUCCG
rnacentral:tRNA from 1 species